rnacentral:rRNA from 1 species
AACAAACGCUGGCGGCGUGCCUAAUACAUGCAAGUCGAACGGGGAAAGCUUUCGGGUGAGUACUAGUGGCGCACGGGUGAGUAACGCGUGGAUAAUCUGCCUUAGAGUGGGGGAUAACUAGUCGAAAGAUUAGCUAAUACCGCAUAAGACCACAAGAACUGCGGUUCAAGGGGUCAAAGGUUUUUCGCUCUAAGAUGAGUCCGCGUAAGAUUAGCUAGUUGGUGAGGUAAUGGCUCACCAAGGCGACGAUCUUUAACUGGUCUGAGAGGAUGAUCAGUCAAACUUGAACUGAGACACGGUCCAGACUCCUACGGGAGGCAGCAGUAGGGAAUAUUGCACAAUGGAGGAAACUCUGAUGCAGCGACGCCGCGUGAGUGAUGAAGGCCUUCGGGUCGUAAAGCUCUGUCGCAAGGGAAUAACACAAUGAAUGUACCUUGCAAGAAAGGAUCGGCUAACUUCGUGCCAGCCGCCGCCGUAACAC